rnacentral:rRNA from 1 species
UACGAAGGGGGCUAGCGUUGCUCGGAAUUACUGGGCGUAAAGCGCACGUGGGCGGCGAUUCAAGUUAGAUGUGAAAGGCCUGGGCUCAACCCGGGGACUGCAUUUGAUACUGAAUUGCUAGAGUCCAAGAGAGGGUAGUGGAAUUCCCAGUGUAGAGGUGAAAUUCGUAGAUAUUGGGAAGAACACCAGUGGCGAAGGCGGCUACCUGGCUUGGUACUGACGCUCAGGUGCGAAAGCGUGGGGAGCGAACAGGAUUAGAUACCCAGUAGU